rnacentral:rRNA from 1 species
UGAGUAACACGUAUCCAACCUGCCGUCUACUCUUGGCCAGCCUUCUGAAAGGAAGAUUAAUCCAGGAUGGCAUCAUGAGUUCACAUGUCCGCAUGAUUAAAGGUAUUUUCCGGUAGACGAUGGGGAUGCGUUCCAUUAGAUAGUAGGCGGGGUAACGGCCCACCUAGUCAACGAUGGAUAGGGGUUCUGAGAGGAAGGUCCCCCACAUUGGAACUGAGACACGGCCAA